rnacentral:SRP_RNA from 1 species
CCGUGCUAGGCGGGGGGCUCGGGGUCCCCUGAACCGGACACCCUCGAUAUGCCGGGCCGAUUACUCGUCUGCGGCUUGUGAACAGCCGGAUCGCCCCCGGCAAGCAGUGUUGAUGGUCGGGUCCUGCGCGACCUGGAGCCGUGAACCCGGUCAGGCCCGGAAGGGAGCAGCCGUAAGCGGUGUACCUCGUGUGCCGCAGGGUCGCCCGACCGGAGCCGGCUACCGGGGAUAGCGCCGACGAUUCGCAAGUCCAAGACGAGGUGCACGG